UGGGGAAUAUUGGACAAUGGGCGAAAGCCUGAUCCAGCAAUGCCGUCGUGAGUGAUGAAGGCCUUAGGGUUGUAAAGCUCUUUUACCCGGGAUGAUAAUGACAGUACCGGGAGAAUAAGCUCCGGCUAACUCCGG
rnacentral:rRNA from 1 species